AAUAAUUUAUUUGAUGGUUUCUUACUACAUGGAUAACUGUAGUAAUUCUAGAGCUAAUACAUGCGUAAAGUCCCGACUCUUGCGGGGAGGGAUGUAUUUAUUAGAUAAAAAACCAAUGCGGGCUCUGCCCGGUUUUGUGGUGAAUCAUAGUAACUUUUCGAAUCGCAUGGCUUCACGCCGGCGAUAGUUCAUUCAAAUUUCUGCCCUAUCAGCUUUCGACGGUAGUGUAGUGGACUACCGUGGCGUUAACGGGUAACGGAGAAUUAGGAUUCGAUUCCGGAGAGGGAGCCUGAGAAACGGCUACCACA
rnacentral:rRNA from 1 species